rnacentral:rRNA from 1 species
UACGAAGGGGGCUAGCGUUGUUCGGAUUUACUGGGCGUAAAGCGCACGUAGGCGGAUCUUUAAGUCAGGGGUGAAAUCCUGGAGCUCAACUCCAGAACUGCCUUUGAUACUGGGGAUCUCGAGUCCGGGAGAGGUGAGUGGAAUUCCUGGUGUAGCGGUGGAAUGCGCAGAUAUCAGGAGGAACACCAACGGCGAAGGCAGCUCGCUGGGACGGUACUGACGCUAAGGCGCGAAAGCGUGGGGAGCGAACAGG